GACGAACGCUGGCGGCGUGCUUAACACAUGCAAGUCGAACGGAAAGGCCCUGCUUGCAGGGUACUCGAGUGGCGAACGGGUGAGUAACUCGUGGGUGAUCUGCCCUGCACUUCGGGAUAGGCCUGGGAAACUGGGUCUAAUACCGGAUAGGAGCCAUCUUUAGUCAGAUGGUUGGAAAGUUUUUUCGGUGUAGGAUGAGCUCGCGGCCUAUCAGCUUGUUGGGGGGGUAAUUGCCUACCAAAGCGGCGACGGGUGGCCGGCCUGAGAGGGUGGAAGGCCACAUUGGGACUGAGAUGCGGCCCAGACACCUACGGGAGGCAGCAGUGGGGAAUAUUGCACGAUGGGCGCCAGCCUGAUGCAGCGACGCCGCGUGGGGGAUGACGGCCUUCGGGGUGUAAACUCCUUUCGCGAGGGACGAAGCUUUUUGUGACGGUACCUAGAUAAGAAGCACCGGCUAACUACGUG
rnacentral:rRNA from 1 species